AUUUACACCUAAAACUGCCGGGGUAGUAAAAGAAGUCCUUCAAACCCAAAAGAUUUGGCGGCACUUCAUUCUCUUCAGAGGGACCUGCCCCUUUAUCGACAAUCCACGCUAAAUCUUACCUUUUCUUAUAAGUUUGUAUACCGCCGUUGCCAGAUAAUUUUUACAAAACAUUAUCAAACCUAAAGAUUUUAAAGACUUCAGGUCAAGGUGCAGCCUAUGAAAAGGUGGAGGUGGGUUACAAUAAUAAUUAAUUAUACGGAUGACUUUAUGCAAAAAAGUUUGAAGGUGGAUUUGAUAGUAAAUUUCGUAUAAUAAAAGAAAUUGAAAAGAGCUCUGAAGUGUGCACACAUCGCCCGUCGCUCUCCCUAGUAAAAC
rnacentral:rRNA from 1 species